UGAAGAAUUAAUUGAAGAAUUAAUUGAGGAACUAAUUGAAGAAUUAACUCCUGCACCCUGCAAAGCAAAAUUCAGGGUGGAGGGAUCUGCCCAGGGUUGGAUUUCUGCCUGCCAGACAAAGACCUGACAGCAUUUGUGGUGAAAUAAUCUGCUCUGUUUGCAGACUGGAGGAGAAAUCCUUUCUGUACAGCUGAGUUCCUUUGAGCCUGGUGACCCCCCAAGCCACGUGCCCACCUCCAGAAAGGGCAGAAGCUUGUUUUGGCAUGGUGCUGGAUUUCCCUGGACCAUGGAGGGAAC